rnacentral:rRNA from 1 species
GUCCUAGCCGUAAACGUUGGGUGCUAGGUGUGGGUGGACAUCGACCCCAUCCGUGCCGAAGCUAACGCAUUAAGCACCCCGCCUGGGGAGUACGGCCGCAAGGCUAAAACUCAAAGGAAUUGACGGGGGCCCGCACAAGCGGCGGAGCAUGCGGCUUAAUUCGAUGCGACGCGAAGAACCUUACCUGGGCUUGACAUGCAGGGUAAAGCCGGUGAAAGCCGGCGCUCUACGGAGCCUGCACAGGUGGUGCAUGGCUGUCGU